rnacentral:rRNA from 1 species
UACGGAGGGAGCUAGCGUUAUUCGGAAUUACUGGGCGUAAAGCGCACGUAGGCGGCUUUGUAAGUUAGAGGUGAAAGCCUGGAGCUCAACUCCAGAAUUGCCUUUAAGACUGCAUCGCUUGAAUCCAGGAGAGGUGAGUGGAAUUCCGAGUGUAGAGGUGAAAUUCGUAGAUAUUGGGAAGAACACCGGUGGCGAAGGCGGCUCACUGGCUCGUAACUGACGCUCAUGCACGACAGCGUGGGAUCAAACAGG